AACGCUGGCGGCGUGCUUAACACAUGCAAGUCGAGCGAAGCACUUAUCAUUGACUCUUCGGAAGAUUUGAUAUUUGACUGAGCGGCGGACGGGUGAGUAACGCGUGGGUAACCUGCCUCAUACAGGGGAAUAACAGUUAGAAAUGGCUGCUAAUGCCGCAUAAGCGCACAGGACCGCAUGGUCUGGUGUGAAAAACUGAGGUGGUAUGAGAUGGACCCGCGUCUGAUUAGGUAGUUGGUGGGGUAACGGCCUACCAAGCCGACGAUCAGUAGCCGGCCUGAGAGGGUGAACGGCCACAUUGGGACUGAGACACGGCCCAGACUCCUACGGGAGGCAGCAGUGGGGAAUAUUGCACAAUGGGGGAAACCCUGAUGCAGCGACGCCGCGUGAAGGAAGAAGUAUCUCGGUAUGUAAACUUCUAUCAGCAGGGAAGAAAAUGACGGUACCUGACUAAGAAGCCCCGGCUAACUACGUGCCAGCAGCCGCGGUAAUACGUAGGGGGCAAGCGUUAUCUGGAUUUACUGGGUGUAAAGGGAGCGUACACGGAAGAGCAAGUCUGAUGUGAAAGGCUGGGGCUUAACCCCAGGACUGCAUUGGAAACUGUUUUUCUAGAGUGCCGGAGAGGUAAGCGGAAUUCCUAGUGUACCGGUGAAAUGCGUAGAUAUUAGGAGGAACACCAGUGGCGAAGGCGGCUUACUGGGCGGUAACUGACGUUGAGGCUCGAAAGCGUGGGGAGCAAACAGGAUUAGAUACCCCUGGUAGUCCACGCGGUAAAUGAUGAAUACUAGGUGUCGGGGUGCAAAGCAGUUCGGUGCGGCAGCAAACGCAAUAGGUAUUCCACCUGGGGAGUACGUUCGCAAGAAUGAAACUCAAAGGAAUUGACGGGGACCAGCACAAGCGGUGGAGCAUGUGGUUUAAUUCGAAGCAACGCGAAGAACCUUACCAAGUCUUGACAUCUGCCUGACCGUUCCUUAACCGGGACUUUCCUUCGGGACAGGCAAGACAGGUGGUGCAUGGUUGUCGUCAGCUCGUGUCGUGAGAUGUCGGGUUAAGUCCCGCAACGAGCGCAACCCCUAUCCUUAGUAGCCAGCAUUUAAGGUGGGCACUCUAGGGAGACUGCCGGGGAUAACCCGGAGGAAGGCGGGGACGACGUCAAAUCAUCAUGCCCCUUAUGAUUUGGGCUACACACGUGCUACAAUGGCGUAAACAAAGGGAAGCGAAGCGGUGACGCCAAGCAAAUCCCAAAAAUAACGUCCCAGUUCGGACUGCAGUCUGCAACUCGACUGCACGAAGCUGGAAUCGCUAGUAAUCGCGAAUCAGAAUGUCGCGGUGAAUACGUUCCCGGGUCUUGUACACACCGCCCGUCACACCAUGGGAGUCAGUAACGCCCGAAGUCAGUGACCCAACCUUAGGGAGGGAGCUGCCGAAGGCGGGACCGAUAACGGGGGUGAAGUCAUAACA
rnacentral:rRNA from 1 species